CGGCACUGGCAAUACUGCGACUGUGGGGAGAAAAGGAAGCAGGCGUCUUCGUGAGGGAGUCGCCGGUGAAGCGUUUGGUCGACCGAAGCAAACCAGCAUGUCUAAAAAGGGUUGAAAGGAGCAGAAAAAAAUGAUGGGAAGGUUCGCCGACGUGACAAGUGUCUGAGUGCUCGUUUCAGACGAACACCGAGUAUCUUCUUUUCAAGUGCUCCUGGUAGCUGCCUGAUCCUCCGCUGCUCUUCUCCUUGGAGAGAAGCUGACAUGCAGGCUGUCAAACCUUCAGUAGAUUUUUCACCAGAGAUUCCGUUCUGCUCGGAUCAAAGUCUUGCAGAAACUGCCGACUCCAUCCAAAAGAAAAAGGUCACAAGCUGUUUAGAUGGACUCAAAACAGAGUAUUGUGUCUCAGGUCGUUCACAUGUUUUACAUUUGUCGCUUGCUUCUGGGUAAAUUUAAGGAUGAGAAGAUCUAAUAAUAUACCCCACUGUCAAAAGUGAGAUACAAAAAAGGAUAGUUUUAAUAACUAUUAACUGCUGACGUGAAAUAAUUGAAAAAAGUAAUUGUGUGAGGGAGAUUAAAAGCAUUCUCAGCAUUAAAGAGUAAAUAUUAUAGAGGGAAUUACAACCUGUAAAGCGUCAUGUAAGCAGUUUAAAGCCACUAGCCGACAAUCAAAGCAACUUUUAGGUAAGAA
ensembl:lncRNA